UACAGAGGUCUCAAGCGUUGUUCGGAUUCAUUGGGCGUAAAGGGUGCGUAGGCGGCGCGGUAAGUCGGGUGUGAAAUCUUGGAGCUUAACUCCGAAACUGCAUUCGAUACUGCCGUGCUUGAGGACUGGAGAGGAGACUGGAAUUUACGGUGUAGCGGUGAAAUGCGUAGAUAUCGGGAGGAACACCAGUGGCGAAGGCGACUUCCUGGCCUGUUCUUGACGCUGAGGCGCGAAAGCUAGGGGAGCAAACGGGG
rnacentral:rRNA from 1 species